GGGAGAUUUUGGACAACUCCAGCGUUGAGAUCAGCAAGAACGCGGACUACAGUGGCUGCAAUAUCCAGUUGCCUCCCUUCAUAGAAUAUAACGCCCCUGACGCCCCAGGUGAAAACGGAAGUGCCUACCUUUUUAAGCAAGACGACCUGACUCCAGAGGAGUGGAGCCAAAAACAAAAAGAUUUUGAGAACCACUAUUUCGACGAAUGGGUGAGCAGAAAAAUAGCUCUACACCGGUCACUACCUAAGGCCAGAUCUCCUCAGUGCAUACAAGACUACAAGAAUCUCCUACCGUCCACCGUCGUCAUCACUUUCUGUAACGAAGAGUGGGCGAUCCUGCUCCGGACAAUCAACAGCAUCAUUGACCACACGCCCGCGCAUUUGUUGGAAGAGAUCAUCCUCAUAGACGAUUUCUCUACAUUAGAUUACUUACAACUUCCUCUUGAAAUCUACAUUCAGCCAAUCAGAGAAGUCCGUCUCAUCCGGGGCUAAGCGACAUCUCGGUCUGAUAGAAGCCAGAAAUUUGGGGGGCGAAGUUGGCA